UACGGGGGAGCAAACGUUGUUCGGAAUCACUGGGCGUAAAGGGCGUGUAGGCGGCUGGAUAAGUGGGAUGUUAAAUCCCCCGGCUCAACCGGGGACCUGCAUCUCAUACUGUUCAGCUCGAGCACAUCAGAGGAGACUGGAAUUCCCGGUGUAGCGGUGAAAUGCGUAGAUAUCGAGAGGAACACCUGCGGCGAAGGCGGGUGCUGGGCUGAUACUGACGCUGAGGCGCGAAAGCUAGGGGAGCAAACGGG
rnacentral:rRNA from 1 species